CGGCAGAGUCACAUGCCUGAGGCAGCCUCCUGGAGGUCCUGCCUGCCUCGAAGGCCCACAGCCCUGCCUCAGGUGGAACUGGUAACCUGGCACCUGCAAGCAUGGGCUUUUGACUUGGCAUCAAGACUCACUGCCAGGCCUAAGGAAACAAACACUGAGGUGAAAGAAAUGCACUAUUUCUGGCACACCUGGAUGUGUAGAACAGGAUUCUACCUGCCACUACCAAGGCCUAGCUCCAGCCUCAAACCUGUGACCAAGCCUCAAGAGGGGACAGGUCAGAGCCACCGCAAUUAACCAGGUAAGGGAUGAAGCUUGGACCAGUGCAGUCAGGUGGUAGAGUCGGAGAGAAGCAGGAGGUAAAGGCAGGUAAGUUUAGGAGGUAAGACUGACAGAACUUGGAGGGUACUGGUAAGGAAGAAGAAGGAGUCAGGAGUAACCCCCAUUAGCAGCUUGAGCAAUUGGGGAGAUGCAGGUGCCAUUCCUGAGCUCAGGAGUAGAGAAGGACCAGUUGGGGGGUAGGUGGGAUGGGUUGGGUUCUGAACACGCUGGGUCUGAGAUACCAAGAGAAGAUGUCACGUAGGCACUUGAAUAUAUGACGUGAAGCUUCGAGAAGUCUGGGCUGGGGGUGUAAAUCUGGGAGUCGUCAGCUUUGUGUGUGGUCCCUGAACAAUGGACACAGAUGUGAUCCCAAGGGAAACAGUAGAGAAAGAAGAGAGGGGGCCUAGGCACGGGCUGAAGAAAACCAACCUUUAAUGGGCAGGCAGAAGAGGAUGCCCCUAGAAAGCAGGUCAGAGAGGCGGGAGAGAGACGAGGAGAAUAAGGCACGAGAAAAGAAGGAGAAAGUGGGACGCAGCCGAGAGGUCACACACACUGAGGGAUUGCAAAUGCCCAUUGAACUGAGUGACGCAGAAGCCACUGACGACUUUGGAAAGAAUCAUUUCACCGGAGAGACAGGCCUGGAAUUGCAAAAGGAGAGAGUGGACGAGCAGGAGACAGGCAAACGGAGUCGGGAGGGCAAAGACUGGUGGGAGGCUGUGCUGAGGACAGAAGGGGGCCGCUGCCAGAGGGAGCAGCGGGGUUCAGGAAAGCUGUUAAAGGUGAUUAAAGUCAUUAAUAUUUUUUUUCAUUUUAACAGUUUUACUGAGGUAUAACUAAUAUACAAUAAGCUGCACAUUUAAAGUGCAACAAUCUGAAAAGUUUGACAUGAACACAUCUGUGAGAUCAUCACCAUUGUCAACCACAUUUUUUCAUCCCCCAGUAUCUGCUUGCCCUCCCUCCUGCUCCCCUCACCCCCAUUCCCAGACACUCACUGACCUGCUUUCUGUUACUAUAGUUUGCAUUUUCUAGAAUUUUAUAUAAAUGGAUUUUUACAUACUUUUAACCUUUUAAAAAAGGUACUUGGGCUUCCCUGGUGGCGCAGUGGUUGAGAAUCU